UCCUCCACUACAUACUUCCGCCAUGAUGUUCUUAGGACCUGAGGAAUAGAGCUGUCCAUCUGUAUACUGAGACCUAUGCAACUGCUGGAAGCAUCUUGGACCUAUCUUUGUCCUCUGCCUCCACUGUCCCCUGCUCCACGCCCAGAGGAUUCAUGGCAGAUUUAAGGCCCCACUCAAAUUCCCCUCCUGCAUGUGGCCCUUCCAGACCACCUCUACUAGGAGUGACUUCUCUGCUUUAUCCUCCAUAAGCAUUUAUUUUUUUGCCACCACCCAAAAUAUUUCUGUCUGUUCAUUCCUUGUGUCCUUCAGGAUUUCAAAGAAUGUGUUGAAAACCACCAAUUCCCAUUGUCAAGUCAACAUGAGUUAGAGUGAAAUUAUA